UACGUAGGGGGCAAGCGUUGUCCGGAAUCAUUGGGCGUAAAGAGCGUGUAGGCGGCCAGGUAGGUCCGCUGUGAAAACUCGAGGCUCAACCUCGAGAUGUCGGCGGAAACCAUCUGGCUAGAGUCCGGAAGAGGAGAGUGGAAUUCCUGGUGUAGCGGUGAAAUGCGCAGAUAUCAGGAAGAACACCCGUGGCGAAGGCGGCUCUCUGGGACGGUACUGACGCUGAGACGCGAAAGCGUGGGGGAGCGAACAGG
rnacentral:rRNA from 1 species